GUUAAAGUGAACGUGCGAGGGCAGUUUUUCCGAUAAGCUGUAUGUCAUUAAGUUCAAAUAUGACGGAGUAUAAAAGAUUAAAGCAAUCGCGAAUUAAAGAUAUUGCUACAGUCUGAUUAAUAUCAACGAUAUAUUUUUGUAUCUUAUUUCAGCUGAAUUCAAAAGCAAUAAAUAUGUCAAAAUAUAUGAUUUUCAUAUUUGUUAUCGCACUCUUGGCCGUUGGAAUAAAAGCUUGUAUAAAUCAUGGCGAGCCUUGUACUACAAGCAGCGAAUGCUGCAGUAACGACUGUGACUACAAUUAUUUCAACGUAAAGUCAUGUUUACAGCGCGAGUUUUGGAGGCACAGAAAUGACUAGUGUAUAAAUUAUUCUUAUCAUCUAAUAUGAUGAUUUUUAUUGUGAUUAUAAAAUUAUCUCAAUAAAUAAUAUUUUUUUUUAAAUUGAAUAAAAAAAAAAAUCAUUAUUUUUACUAAAAUGAACCAGUUAUUUACUCGACCCUUUUUACAAAUAAAUUUUAUCGUAUUUUCAUAUAUAAGAAUUUUUCAAAUACUUAUUUUAAAAUUUAAAAAAAUUUGUUUUACUUAUCAAGUGUAUCAAUAUUAGUUGCUAUUGUAAUUAAUAAGUGUUGUUGUCUACAAGAUCGAGUGACUCUUACAUAUAGAUAUGCGAUAAAAUUUUAGCGAACUAUCGGGUUCAAAUGUGCAUAGCUAAGACUAAGAUAUAAAUACUCUUACCCGAAGAAUUCAUCAUCAGUAAACACGAAACCAACGUAAUUGUUAUAUCCAGCGCAAUAAAAUAAUUAAAAUGUCAAAAUUAACUAUUUUGAUUUUAUUGGUCGCGUUGUUGGUUAUCGGAGCCAAUGCUAACGGUUGUAUACGGUAUGGAGAACUGUGUUUCAGAGGCGCUCAAUGCUGUGACUCUCAUAAAUGCGAACAAAAUUACUUCGGCCAAUUUGAAUGUGGAAAAACACUGGCCGGAUUAAAGUGACGAUGACUAAUGAGCCUUGGAUUUAUUUUUUCCGAUAAUAAUAAAUUGCAAUGAUAAUAAUUAUUUUCGAAAUCAAAUAAUUUGUCAUGUAGAACUAUUUUUUUUCGUCUAUUUGAUGUAUGAGUAAAAUUUUUGUAAGCUAUGUCAAAUUUAAUGUUCAAAAUUUUUCAAA